rnacentral:rRNA from 1 species
AAAUUGAAGAGUUUGAUCAUGGCUCAGAUUGAAUGCUGGCGGCAGGCCUAACACAUGCAAGUCGAACGGUAACAGGAAACAGCUUGCUGUUUCGCUGACGAGUGGCGGACGGGUGAGUAAUGUCUGGGAAACUGCCUGAUGGAGGGGGAUAACUACUGGAAACGGUAGCUAAUACCGCAUAACGUCGCAAGACCAAAGAGGGGGACCUUCGG